UAGUUUUGAUUUCUCCGCGAGUCAGCUGCACGAGCCUCAACUGACGCAACCUUGAUACUUUCAAUACAUUAUCCGUUAUAAGUCACCGUAUACACUUAAAGUAAUAAAAUCAGAAUCAUUCUUGCCAAAGUUUCUGUGCUGCCCUAGUUAUUGUUUAAAAUUUUAAUCAGGUUACUUGUCCGGAUGGGCAAGUAAAAUUCUCUUUCAAUUGCCCCUUCACAAAAUCCAUUGUCGCGGACAAGCGUUAAUGUCAAGCCCUGAAUACGAUCCUCUAUUUCAGGCUAGCAACGGGCAGUGGUAUCAGAUGAAUGACUCCUCGGUAUCUUUCAGCGAUAUAAGAACAGUGCUUAAUCAGCAGGCUUACUUGCUGUUCUACAUCAGGUAAAGGUCUUAAUUCACUUUCCGUGACUUAAAUGGACAAUUUGUGUUUCUGGGGCAAAGGGUGAGUCUCAUCAGUAAAAUGCUUAUUUUAAUUCAGGUCACCUGAUGCAAAAAAUGGAAGUGAUUUUAGCCAGAUGAAUCAUACUCCAGGCCAGUCGUCUCCUCGACCAUCCAUUCCAAUCAAGAUGAAUGGGCCUCAGUACACUUCCACAUCUUUCAUUGGCCCUCAGCUGCCACCUCAUAUGCUGAAGAACUCGUCAUACAUGAAUGGGAAUGGUUCUUCAAAGGAAUACCAUAGUGGUUCCAAACCCAACAGAAGUUUCUGUGGUGCAACCAAAUUAGGCUCUGGCCUAUCUCAUACAUCCUCUUCUGCAUCCGCAUGCUCUUCUACUUCACUUGUUCGGCCCAUGGGUAUUCCUGACUCAUCCAAGAGGCCAAAGUUGACUUUUCUCAUUGGUCAGGGCAAGCCAACGAAACCUACUCAGACCCAGUCAGGCCAUAACUGCUCUUUAUCUUCAGCCUCUCACCCUCAGCCCACAUCUUCCAGAACCUCAGUGUCUACCUCAGGCUUCCCGCAGGUCAAUGGAACUCAAACUGGAGCUUCUUUUUUGGUUCCUUAUGGUCAGGAGUCAUCUGAAGAGUCCGACCAAGAGGCUGGAGCCUUGGAGAAUGGAUCGGUUAAGCCUUAUCUUGCUCCCAAGAUAACAAAUGGGAAUGGGGUAAAGGAUGACACCCAGUCCCACAGUUCCGGUUCAUUGCCUCAUCUUACCCUGAAGACAAAUGGAUCUAAUGGCUUUUCAGAAAUACAUGUGCGUGAAAAUGGGUCAGGACCUGCCCACAAAUCCCAGAAUGGCCUUCCCAAAGCCAAUGGUUUUAAUCAUGCUGAUAAGGUAAAAAAUUAAAAUUUUAAUUUGAGGCCUGUAUAUUACUUAUAUAUACAGGUGCUGGUCAUAUAAAGUGAAACUUGUAUAUUAUAU
ensembl:lncRNA